UGGGACAAGCCCUGGAAACGGGGUCUAAUACCGGAUACUGACCAUCUUGGGCAUCCUUGAUGGUCGAAAGCUCCGGCGGUGCAGGAUGAGCCCGCGGCCUAUCAGCUUGUUGGUGAGGUAAUGGCUCACCAAGGCGACGACGGGUAGCCGGCCUGAGAGGGCGACCGGCCACACUGGGACUGAGACACGGCCCAGACUCCUACGGGAGGCAGCAGUGGGGAAUAUUGCACAAUGGGCGAAAGCCUGAUGCAGCGACGCCGCGUGAGGGAUGACGGCCUUCGGGUUGUAAACCUCUUUCAGCAGGGAAGAAGCGAAAGUGACGGUACCUGCAGAAGAAGCGCCGGCUAACUACGUGCCAGCAGCCGCGGUAAUACGUAGGGCGCGAGCGUUGUCCGGAAUUAUUGGGCGUAAAGAGCUCGUAGGCGGCUUGUCACGUCGGUUGUGAAAGCCCGGGGCUUAACCCCGGGUCUGCAGUCGAUACGGGCAGGCUAGAGUUCGGUAGGGGAGAUCGGAAUUCCUGGUGUAGCGGUGAAAUGCGCAGAUAUCAGGAGGAACACCGGUGGCGAAGGCGGAUCUCUGGGCCGAUACUGACGCUGAGGAGCGAAAGCGUGGGGAGCGAACAGGAUUAGAUACCCUGGUAGUCCACGCCGUAAACGGUGGGCACUAGGUGUGGGCAACAUUCCACGUUGUCCGUGCCGCAGCUAACGCAUUAAGUGCCCCGCC
rnacentral:rRNA from 1 species